CCCAACGGUCCCUCCCCCAGCGACGUCGGAGGUGGGAGCCGGGGGAGAGGGCCCCAGCCUCGCACACAGCAGCAGUUAACACUUAUUGUAACCGUUUUCCACGGGAAAGCAUUGGCAUCCGGGCCACGACCCUCCCAGUGCCCUCUGGCAAGCAAGAUAUCUGCAAGGUUCUGCCCAUAUUUGAGCACUUUGCUUUUUGCUGUGGAAGCGUGAGCGGCUGAGGCAGAGGAUUGAGUCCCAGUUUCACUCCUUGCUACUGUAUGGAUUGUCUGAACUCCUCUUCCCUCAUGAAUAAAAAAUAAAUAAAUAAACAUUUAAAUAUAACCAAGAA